rnacentral:lncRNA from 1 species
CAAAUUCUUCACAAGCCUUUGAAAUCUUGUGAACAACUUCCAAGGAUGAAGGGUUGUUGUUAUUGUGAUCAUAGUAACUCAAAUCAAUUAUUGGUAUUGAGUCUAAAGAAGUGACUUGUGAAAGGUUUGGUCUUUUGUGUUCUGGGAGGAUGAAAUUUGGAGUUAAGGAUAAGGGAGAAGAUUCAUUGGCUAAUUGGAAAGAAUUCAUCUUGUGUUAGAAAUUUUGAUAUUGAAGUUCAUUCAAGAAACAAUGGGAAUAAUAUUUAUUUAUAUCUUAUUUGAUUAAGUAAAUUAUACUAUACUACUAGUUGAUGGUAACACACUAACUUGCAGGGACCACCACCAGCCCACCAGAAUUGAUCAAAGGAUUAAGAUGACUUUCUAGGAGCAUUAUUAAAGAGUUGACUAUUAACUUUCUAGUCUUUUUUAGGACAUAAGUUGACUUUUUAGGUCUUGUUUAUUUGAAAAAUGUAAAUUAGUGUAUAUAUUUGGUAACAUAAAUAAGUUAGCUUAUAAUUUAUUGAAUUUGCUUUUAAGUUUGUUUGAUAAAAUAAAAUGUGUUUGACGGAAAAUUUUUAAUUUGACUUGUAGCUUUUUUUGAAAUGUUAUUUUUGUGUCUAAAACUUAUAGUUUUUUGCCUUUUAUUUCAAUUUUAAUCUUAUUAUUUAAAUUUUAUUAUUUUAUUAUUUUUUUAAAAAUGUAAUAACUAGUUAACUACCCGUUAAUCAUGUAUUUAUAUUAUUUUAUAGGGACUAAAAAUAAAAUUUAAAAUAUUUAUACUAACCAAAAACUUAUUUAACUCUUUAAAAUACAGAGAAUGCUCUUUUCAAUAUAAAGAUUACUUUUUUUAGUUUCAUUAAUUAGGCACUAAAAACAUUAGUACUCCCAAGCUAAAACUACGGAGGACUAAUCUUCGCUUGUUCAAAAACAAAACAGAUAUAGACACACUUAUUAAACACAAAUACGACACAUAUUUCACUGUUUUUUUUAUAGUUUAUACCUCCUCAUUUGUUCUCUCUCACUCAUUGUUCUCUAUGUCUCUAGUGAAGAAGAAAUGUGACGUUUUUGCCAAAUUGUCCUUAAUUUUAAGGAUUUAAAUGUCAAAAGUGUCCAUAUUUGUGUUUGAUUUUGUGUGUUAUCAUUCACAAAAACCAAAUAAAAGUUUAACCAACACAUUUUUUUACGUGAAUCAAACUUAGGAACACUAGGUUGACGGUACCGGUCAUAGAGCUAGCAUGUUACUCCACUAUGCCAAUUGGUUACUAGGCAUGAUUCAUAUUAAUCUAUGGUUAAAAUCGAGCCGUACAUGGUGAAAGACCCACCUCGAUUUUUCACUCUAGACUUAGUAUUCUCUUGAAAGUACGAGUCCUAGAGUAUGCUACUCCACUAUACCAAUUGGUUACUAGGUAUGAUUCACAGUAAUCUAUAUAUGGUUAAAAUCGAGCUGUACAUGGUGAAAGACCCACCUCACAUUUUCACUAUAGACUUAGUAUUCUCUUGAAAAGAGCAUGUUACUCCACUAUGCCAAUUGGUUACUAGGUAUUAUUUUAACCAUAGAUCACGUGAAUCAAAUUUAGCUAGAAACACUCUGUUGACGAUAUGAGUCCUAGAGCAUGUUACUUCACUAUGCCAAUUGAUAACUAGGUAUCAUUCAUAGUAAUCUAUAUAUGGUUAAAAUCGUGUCGUACAUGAUGAAAGACCCACCACACUUUUUCACUCUAACUUAGUAGUUUCUCUUGAAAGCGGUGUUGCAUUACAUCCAACUUUUGCAGUGUAUUUUAUGAGUAGGUACAUAUGCCGUUCAUUGGCUCGACAUAACAAUAAAAAUAGUAGUAGGUACAUUAUUGAAAAUCCAGCAUUGUUUAAAAUUUAAUUUGAAUGCAAUCAUAGUGCAAAAUAACUUUGCACAUAUAUCCAAAUAAUUUUAGAAAAUAAUAUCAUAAUAUUUACAUCAUCAAUGCAUACAAAUUAAACUAUUUUAUUUAUCUUCUAGCUUGAAGUUUUCUUUCACCAUCUUCCCAGUUCUUUUUGGCUUAUAAUAUUCUUCAACGAAUUCAGAGAAACGAUAAUUUCUGAAUUUGAUAGGAUGUUCUUCGUCGAUCAAUUCUUGAAUUGGCCCAAUUGAUGUGUUUGGGUUUGGCCCAUAAAACAUAGCCAUUGAAACUCGUGGAUGCACAGUGUUGGUAACUGCCCUAUGAAGUACACUUUUGUAUCUUCCAUUGCUUAGAACCUACAUAUACAUGUCACAUUUUAUGCAUUUGUUUCACGUUAUGACUCAAUUUUUAUACAUUGUUAGUAAAUGAAUUGAUGAAGUUGAAGAACUAUAUAUGCACACAAAGUAUAAAACAUUUUUACAAUCAUCCAAUUAGAUUUUACUACAAUGUUAAUUUGAUAGAGAAUUAUCAUUCAUUCAUAUGCCACUAUCGUGGUCGAUUAAUAUUACUUCUAGUCGUAAGAGUUUGACAUUAGAGUCUUAAGCGGUGAUAGUGUAAAAGGCACACCAAUGACGUGUGAAAAAAAUAGCUAGGAAAAGCACAUCAAUGGCACAUACCUCAAUUUGAUCAGCUAGAUUGAUAACAAAAGCAUUAGGAAUACAAGGGAUAGAAAUCCAUUUUCCAUCUUUGUUAACUUGAAGACCAGAAACUUCUGAUUGCAAAAGGACAGUGAUAGCAUUAAAAUCAGUAUGUUCUUGGAGACCCAUGGUCAACUCAGGAUCUGGACAUGGUGGAUAGAAAUUUGCUUGUGCCCUUAGUCUAGGCUGCUCACCCACCUUCUUCAACAAAAAAUCUUCCUCUAAGCCAAGCCCUAUUGAUAUCAAACUCAAAAGCCUUUUCACCAAUGAACCAAUCUCUUUUUCAUAGUCAGUGAAAGCCUCCCUAUGAAAUGCAAAAGUCUAAAUUGCUUGUGAUCACAUUUUUCAAAAAAUGGCUGCAAUAUGAGCCAUGACAUUAAAGUUUUUGAUAUUAUUGAAGAUAGUUAGUUUACAUUUUUUACUACUUGUAACUUACUUUCCCGCCAAGUAACUCUAGGUUGGUUAGUUAGUUCAAUAGAAGCAAUUGCUAUCUUGUGUGAGCUAUAAGUACAACUUUUAAGCAUUCUUUCAAGCCAAUGAGAAUCAUUUUUCUCUUUCCUUUUUUUCAUUCCUAACAGUGUUUCCUUCAUGGAUCUAACAAACUAUGAAUCCUAACAAACUCAACAGAUAUCUCUGUAACUACAACACAAACACAGUUGAGGUUGUGUUGGGAAAAUUUGACCGUAAUUUUUUGCAAUAUUUAUGGAUCGUAAUGCGUUAUAUCGGUCACAUUGGUAGCAACUAACUUAUCAAUUUGUUCAACUAAUGCCAUACUCUAAUUAAGUGCUUACGGCAUAAAAGAUUAUCAUAAGUGUUUAUUUAUAAGCUAUUUCUAUAACAAAAGAUAAAACAAAAUCAAACUGUUUUUAUAUGAGUUGUUUUCAGAAGUUACCGAAAUAACCUAAAAAAUAACUAAUGGACGUUUCCAUAAGCUCUCGCAAAUGGUCUAACAAUUGUUUAUAUGACAGUAGAUAAACUCAACAAGUAUAGUCAAAUAUAUACUAAAUUUAGAAUGGUAGAGUCAAAUGGAAAAUUCCUCACCUAUAUUGAGUACCAAUUUGUUCUGGUAGAAGAUGAAUGAUAUCAUCAAUAGGAUACCAAAAAUGACUAAAACAUUCACUCCACAUUUUGACCUUUUCUCCACCUUCCACUUUAAGGCAAAAAUUGACCAAUCUUACAUUCUUGGUAUGAUCUGUUGAUGAAAGUUGUUCUCUUUCUUCUGGUGGCAACCCAAAAAGACUAGUAAUUGCUUUCAUCAUAUUGUUGCAAACUUGUUCAGGAACACCAUGGUUUACAACUUGAAAGAAACCAAAUUCUUCACAAGCCUUUGAAAUCUUGUGAACAACUUCCAAAGAUGAAGGGUUGUUUUCAUCAUAGUAACUCAAAUCAAUUAUAGGUAUUGAGUCUAAAGAAGUGACUUCUGAAAGGUUUGGUCUUUUGUGUUCUGGGAGAAUGAAAUUUGGAGUUAAGGAAAGGGGAGAAGACUCAUUGGCUAAUUGGAAAGACUUCAUGUUUUCAGAAAAAAUUGAGAUUGAAGUUCAUC